GCUAAUAAUGGAAGCAAUUUGUAACUUUCAGUAGCUCUCAGGGCCCGGGUACGCGAGGGAGGGAGGCGGGUGGAGGUGGGGAAAUGGGUGCCCCCAGUCUUUCCACUCUCUGCAUUCGUACAGGGCGCCGGGAUCCCCUAAUCCUCCCUUCUCCCAACAAGCAGGCUCUAGCAGGGUCCCGCGCCCACUUCUGUCCCGCGGCCGCCGUUCCAGAGCAAGAGAGCGUCCCAGCCAGACUCUCCGCUCCCCAGCUGCCAGGAGCGGCCAGGGGGGAAUGUGAGCCGAGUAAGGUCAUCAGAGCCUUAAGAUGUGGGGUCCGUUCUCUUUUAUGUGAGCUGAACCGGAUGCGCCUGAGACUGAGCUUGGACCGUGCCCUUGAAGAGAAAUCCCUAACAGAGGGCAAAGCAACCAGCAGUAGGAAAGGAACCCAAGUUCCCGACUGGCCACGUGGAGCAGGACCACCUGUCAUUGGGGCUGCUCCCUCCCAGAUCGUUAUGUGAGAAAUAAAUUUGUUUUCUA